UAUGUCGUAUAAUAAUUUACAAGUUUUAAGUAGCCGUGAAUUCCCGUUGAUUUAAAAAAUUGCGCAGUUUUUUUCCAUGCUUUUUAUAUGAGGGAAAAUGCGCAACAUCGUACGAGAAAAACAUUUCAAAAAACGACCAUAUUUUUGAGCUACUUUGAGCUGCACUCUAUGAUACUAAAAUUAAUUAUGUAAAAAGUUUGAAAUUUUUAUGUAUUUUUUUUUUUAAAUUUUGGACAAAGUUUGAAACUUUGAUUUACAUAGGUUUUGUUAUAUAUAGUAUCAACUAUAUUUAUAAAAAAAAAGUAUUUUAUAUUAGUUUACAAAAUUUUACCACAUUAAAAAAAAAAGAUAGUUAUGGUAAGUUAUGCGUUACCGCCAACGUACAUACAUACAUACAUACGUACGCGUUUACAUGUUCAUUUAUAUUUUCGUGGAUGUGUUUUUUAUUUAAGGGCCACGCGUUAAUGCGAUAUAAUAACGCAAGUGAGAGAAAUUGUGAAAAAAAUAUGUUUAUGUAUAGCAAACGAAAUUGGAUGAUGAUCUAAGGAAAUUCUAUGUAUUAAUACUAUUAAAAUGGUAAAAUAUAUCACAUGUGUAUAUUAUAUGUACUUAAUUUUUCAAUGUUGUUGUUGGUUUUAUUCUUUCUUCUGCUCAAGCAGUUGGUUUUCAACUGCCGAAUCUUACGUAUUAUGCUCUUCCAAUCAGCUAUUCAUUUAAUACGCGCUUAACUCUUCACAUCUUAGUGCAAGGAAACGCAUUUUUUAGUGUUGUAGUAGCAGCAGUCAUACUAGGCUCUCAAAUCACUCGCCGGCAGCAAAGACAAAGUUGCAGUCCGCCCCUCAACACGGGAAAUGACAGCUGUAUGACUGGAGAGCGCACGUAGACUACACGUAUGAUGAUGCACGAUACAAAGCGGCGUUCGACAACUUAACUUAGACUCAGCUAACGCCAUUUUUACAUUCGACUCGAUCAAAGCAGCCUAGGAAUAAACGCCAUUAACGCUCGAAUAAAAGACGCUCUCAAUCAGAAGCCCAUGUGCACGUAAAAUCUUCGUAGCACUCGAUCUGUCGAUGGCCCUCGACACCGAUUUCCACGCUACACUGUACACUGAUUCACCACUAUAUAUCAAGCGCUUGAUGUCAACAGGUAAAUUAAGGUUACCUCCAACCCUGUUUAGCAUGUACCUCUGCAAUCUUCCGCUCCAUCAUGGCAACUGGCAAGAUAUCGAAGAUUUGUGCAACGGUCUUUUAGUACGCGAAGUCUUCGCGGAGUCCACGGCCACCUUAUUCAUAACCUUGGUGAAAGACGUCAGGCUGGAGUUGGACCUAGAGACAGAUGGCACAAAAAUUCUGACCGUUCACCCCACGACAAUCAGCAGCAAACUCCGAAGCAGCAAUUAGGUCCUGCUUGCCACCUACUAGAUUAUCGGAUGAUAUGUAAACAACGACGACCUGUCGGUGGGCACCAGCAAUACACAGUGGACCAGGCUCCAAACCGGGUAGAAUACUGCCACUCGCUCCGCUACAGGUUCUCUUUUCGUUUCGGCGGAGCAACAUCUACAAGAUAAGACCAGAACUAACCGAAACACCUUAUAAACAGCACCUAAGUAAACUGGGACACCUAGAUUAGCACGCGAGAAACCCUUUGGGCAGAGGAGUCUACAUGGAAGAAUAGCUUACACCAUAAAGCAGUCGCGUUCGCAACUAGGCUGCCCCCAUUCACCUACAUGUAUCCCCUAAGAGAAUUUGACGUCCCCGAUAUACCAGAGUUACACUGAGCCAACUCCGAUCCAGUUGGUGUAGCAGACUCAAUUCAUACAGAGCAAGACUAAAUGUGCACAUCGAAAGCAUCGGUUCGCAUUCGGAAACGGAUUAAACGGUAUAAGUCACCUCUUUGGCACCGUAAAUAUUUCACACAUCUCUUAUCAUAUACUCAACCAAUGAAAACUGCGCGCCGCGGAGAUGACUAAACCGCUAUUUAGGGUUUAGACUAGCCGAAUUGGACAGGCCUUGGUAGUGCCCCCACAGCCAUCAAAAUCACAUAUCUUCCAAGAAGUUAAGACUAGGGACCGAGAACGCGCUCCGGUUUAUGUUUUAGUUCUGCACGAGAACUGUAACGUAAAGAGCGUUCCCGCAAAAGAGAACAAUGGGAACAAAAGCGUUCAGAGCAAUAUGAACGGGAACUAGAACAAAGUGUUCGGGAAUGUUUCCAAAAAGGUCAAAAUGCGAACAAAACUCUCGGGAACUUUCUCAAAAUAGAGAAAAAACUUCUAAAAACGAAAAGAACAGACUGAGAACGAAACUUUCGGGAACGUUUCCAAAGAGAACGGAAGUAUCGAAAAAUUUUUCAAGGAGGAUCAAAUAAGAACAAAAUUCUUGGGAAACGUUCUGCUAGAGAAUACAAGUUUUGAGAUCAUAACGUUAAGAAUCAGAGGGGCGGCUGCGUGUUGCGAUGAAAAAUCGUUUCAGUGAUUUAUCAGUAGGGUGACUGUCAGAUAGUUCCUGAGAAAUUGCUCCUUUUAAACUAUUGUUCCAGUUUUUUUUCUUUGUAAGAAAGUUCCGGACAUUUUUGUUGUUUUUUUGGUUCUUUUAGAAAUGUUCCCGAAAAUAUUGUUCGCAAUUUGUUCUCUUUGGGAAGGGUCCACAGAGUUUUUUCUUGUAUAAUUCCCGUUGAGAACUUUCUCGACAGCCUACUCACUUUCGUUUUUGUGAAAACAUUCCCGAAGAUUUUUUCUCAUUUUGGCUUGGAUUUUUAAGCGUUCUUGGGAACAAAACAACGAGAACGACCUUUGGUUUCGAUCAUAUCUCUUGCACUCGGUACCUGGUUUAGUCUGUGUAUGUGUAGGAAACAGAAGCCACUCUCAGCAUGUCUUUGUAAAGUACAGAUCAAUUAAGCGGGAAAAAAGUUUAAAAUCUCAAGCUCUCGCCUGUUAGGAUUUUCUUAAAUGGAAAAAUAGGAAUACCCGUAUUUUUUGUUAAAAGGAAGAAGAUAUUUAGAACUGCCUCAAAGCCCAUAAAGAUUUCCUUGUAUUUUAUAUGGAGAAAAAUAAUUCUUUUUGUUGAAAUUCUUGAAAUCAGUAUUUUUCGAUCGGAAAAUUCUGUUUCUCUUUAUGGAUGCCCCAUAACACCCAAUUGUUUAUUUAAUCAUUUUUAAUAUUAACUAUUUUUUAUAGGCCUUCUACAAUUCUUAAAAA
rnacentral:lncRNA from 1 species